rnacentral:lncRNA from 1 species
CCAAAACAACACUGAAUGAUCUACACAACGCCAGGAGCUCGUAUCUGGUCUCGGAAUUCAAACUAAUCAUCAAUUAAGCCGGAAAAUUAAACUAAAACUAAGAACGCCGCCGGAGUUUCAAACUCCGGCGAGGCCUCAUCUCGACUCCAACAGCUGAUUCGAUUAUAUGAACACACUCAGCAUUCAACGAUCUACACAUCUGUGUUUUCCAAUCUUACCCAGCCUUCCUAGAACUCAAACUCCGGCGAAAAUUCAAAGAAAGCUCAAGAACACCCCAAGAACACAGUUCAGUAAUCAAACCAACUUUUCUAGAUGUUAUGGAACUCAAAAAUCAACAUAUAAUAUACCAAAACGACGAGAAAAACACGUACUACAACAUGGAAUCAUCAAAACAAUCAAACAACCAAGUUUGCGAAAAUUCAUCAUUUAAAUCAGAUAAAUUCGAAUUUUAGAAAAAUAAUCUAAAAUCACCUGUUGAAUCUGCAUAUAAACGGAUGAUUGUACUAGAUUCUACGCGUCGAGAGCUUCGUUUUGACUAUUUAUACGCCUCCAUCGGAUUCCAAUAACGCCUUCAAAUCCUUGUUUGAUUAUGAAGAACACGAAGAACACCCGUUCGUUUUCUCUCGGUAUUCGUGCGGAGAAAC